AGUGAACGCUGGCGGUAGGCCUAACACAUGCAAGUCGAACGGCAGCACAGUAAGAGCUUGCUCUUACGGGUGGCGAGUGGCGGACGGGUGAGGAAUACAUCGGAAUCUACUUUUUCGUGGGGGAUAACGUAGGGAAACUUACGCUAAUACCGCAUACGACCUACGGGUGAAAGCAGGGGAUCUUCGGACCUUGCGCGAUUGAAUGAGCCGAUGUCGGAUUAGCUAGUUGGCGGGGUAAAGGCCCACCAAGGCGGCGAUCCGUAGCUGGUCUGAGAGGAUGAUCAGCCACACUGGAACUGAGACACGGUCCAGACUCCUACGGGAGGCAGCAGUGGGGAAUAUUGGACAUUGGGCGCAAGCCUGAUCCAGCCAUACCGCGUGGGUGAAGAAGGCCUUCGGGUUGUAAAGCCCUUUUGUUGGGAAAGAAAAGCAGCAGGUUAAUACCCCGCUGUUCUGACGGUACCCAAAGAAUAAGCACCGGCUAACUUCGUG
rnacentral:rRNA from 1 species